UACAGAGGUCUCAAGCGUUGUUCGGGUUCAUUGGGCGUAAAGGGUGCGUAGGCGGCGCGGAAAGUCGGGUGUGAAAUUUCGGAGCUUAACUCCGAAACUGCAUUCGAUACUCCCGUGCUUGAGGACUGGAGAGGAGACUGGAAUUUACGGUGUAGCAGUGAAAUGCGUAGAGAUCGUAAGGAAGACCAGUGGCGAAGGCGGGUCUCUGGACAGUUCCUGACGCUGAGGCACGAAGGCCAGGGGAGCAAACGGG
rnacentral:rRNA from 1 species